GACGAACGCUGGCGGCGUGCUUAACGCAUGCAAGUCGAACGGAAAGGCCCUGCUUUUGUGGGGUGCUCGAGUGGCGAACGGGUGAGUAACACGUGAGUAACCUGCCCUUGACUUUGGGAUAACUUCAGGAAACUGGGGCUAAUACCGGAUAGGAGCUCCUGCUGCAUGGUGGGGGUUGGAAAGUUUCGGCGGUUGGGGAUGGACUCGCGGCUUAUCAGCUUGUUGGUGGGGUAGUGGCUUACCAAGGCUUUGACGGGUAGCCGGCCUGAGAGGGUGACCGGCCACAUUGGGACUGAGAUACGGCCCAGACUCCUACGGGAGGCAGCAGUGGGGAAUAUUGCACAAUGGGCGGAAGCCUGAUGCAGCAACGCCGCGUGCGGGAUGACGGCCUUCGGGUUGUAACCCGCUUUCGCCUGUGACGAAGCGUGAGUGACGGUAAUGGGUAAAGAAGCACCGGCUAACUACGUGCCAGCGGCCGCGGUGAUACGUAGGGUGCGAGCGUUGUCCGGAUUUAUUGGGCGUAAAGGGCUCGUAGGUGGUUGAUCGCGUCGGAAGUGUAAUCUUGGGGCUUAACCCUGAGCGUGCUUUCGAUACGGGUUGACUUGAGGAAGGUAGGGGAGAAUGGAAUUCCUGGUGGAGCGGUGGAAUGCGCAGAUAUCAGGAGGAACACCAGUGGCGAAGGCGGUUCUCUGGGCCUUUCCUGACGCUGAGGAGCGAAAGCGUGGGGAGCGAACAGGCUUAGAUACCCUGGUAGUCCACGCUGUAAACGGUGGGUACUAGGUGUGGGGUCCAUUCCACGGGUUCCGUGCCGUAGCUAACGCUUUAAGUACCCCGCCUGGGGAGUACGGCCGCAAGGCUAAAACUCAAAGGAAUUGACGGGGCCCCGCACAAGCGGCGGAGCAUGCGGAUUAAUUCGAUGCAACGCGUAGAACCUUACCUGGGUUUGACAUGGAUCGGGAGUGCUCAGAGAUGGGUGUGCCUCUUUUGGGGUCGGUUCACAGGUGGUGCAUGGCUGUCGUCAGCUCGUGUCGUGAGAUGUUGGGUUAAGUCCCGCAACGAGCGCAACCCUUGUUCACUGUUGCCAGCACGUUAUGGUGGGGACUCAGUGGAGACCGCCGGGGUCAACUCGGAGGAAGGUGGGGAUGACGUCAAGUCAUCAUGCCCCUUAUGUCCAGGGCUUCACGCAUGCUACAAUGGCUGGUACAGAGAGUGGCGAGCCUGUGAGGGUGAGCGAAUCUCGGAAAGCCGGUCUCAGUUCGGAUUGGGGUCUGCAACUCGACCUCAUGAAGUCGGAGUCGCUAGUAAUCGCAGAUCAGCAACGCUGCGGUGAAUACGUUCCCGGGGCU
rnacentral:rRNA from 1 species